rnacentral:rRNA from 1 species
GAACGAGGAUAUAUUCUUCGGGAUAUAAGCCGAGUGGCGCAAGGGUGAGUAAUGCAUAGAUUACCUGCCUCUAGGAUAAGGACAACUUUGUGAAAACGAAGCUAAUACUUAAUAAUACAAAAGAAAAUAAUUUUCUUUUGUCAAUGGGAGGGUAGCAAUACCUUUUGCCUGGAGAGGGGUUUAUGUCCUAUCAGCUUGUUGGUGGGGUAAUGGCCUACCAAGGCGAAGACGGGUAGCCGGUCUUAGAGGAUGGUCGGCCACACUGGGACUGAGACACUGCCCAGACUUCUACGGAAGGCUGCAGUCGAGAAUCUUUCGCAAUGCCCGAAAGGGUGACGAAGCGACGCCGCGUGAGUGAGGAAGGCCUUCGGGUUGUAAAGCUCUGUCAGGGGUUAAGAAAUAUAGGUGUGCUAAUACCAUAUUUAUUUGACGAAGGCUCCAAAGGAAGCCACGGCUAACUCUGUGCCAGCAGCCGCGGUAAUACAGAGGUGGCAAGCGUUGUUCGGAAUUAUUGGGCGUAAAGAGCACGUAGGUGGGUUUGUAAGUCAGAUGUGAAAGCCUUCUGUUCAACGGGAGAAUUGCAUCUGAAACUGCGAGUCUUGAGUGUAGGAGGGGAGAAUGGAACUUCUGGUGGAGCGGUGAAAUGCGUAGAUAUCAGAAGGAACGCCGGCGGCGAAAGCGAUUCUCUGGCCUAUUACUGACACUCAGUGUGCGAAAGCUAGGGGAGCAAACGGGAUUAGAUACCCCGGUAGUCCUAGCUGUAAACGAU